UAUUAAGUACCGCAUCUCACUCUGGAUUCGAAUAAUGGAUACAAAAUUUCAUAGACAUAUUGAUAAUUACUUUAACAAUGAGGGAUUAUAAUGAAAAAGAUGAAACCGUCUCAAACACGGGAGGUAAUAAAAAAGAUAUAAUGGCCGCGAGCAGCGGAAGAUCUUUUUCAAGGUAGACGGGCAGUAAACUGAAAUUGGAUUUAGCGGUGUAAAACGAGGAAGCCACGCCGGAAAGCGACGGUGAGAGCCAACGAGGGUGUGGAUCCCUUUCACGGAUCUCAACACGCGAUGACAGACACGGCCACGUGAGCCAAAGAGCCAGACGAAUUGAAAGAGAAGAGAGUCUGGCCAAGUUAUUGACAGCCCGCCGCCAGUGAAUAACCGACCUCCUCGAGAAUAGCCUCGAACCAAUGGCUCGUGUGUGCCAAGGUUCCAAACUCCCAAACCCUCUAUCCAUUCCCUCGUCCUUUCUUUUUUUCAUUCCGCUUCACUCGUAAAGAACAGGUGCAUUUCCGGAGUUCGAGAAUAUUGAGCGAAACAAUUGGUUCUAAGCAACUAAUUCUUUAAUUCAACUAAAUGCAACUUAAAAGAAAAUCUCGUAACGUAAAAUUUAUUAGAUUAUCUUCUCUCAUUUAACGAAAAUUGACGUAUAAAAGUAUUUCCAGCUUGAAAUUCUUGUAAUUUCAUGUUGCAUAGAAUAAAAUCUUGGAACAAUUGAUUGUACGAUGUUAAUUAACGUUGUAAUGAACUUUAGUUAGCAUGUGGUAACCUAACAUAUCCUAGUCACACUUGCGGUAUGUUACACUUGCCACGGACGUUAGAAGAUUAAGUUACUUGUCACGAAUUGUUAGUGUCCACAAUAGUUGAGUGACGUGAACACAUGAAAGUGAAUUGCGAACUAGAAACCAGUGCAAUUACAAGUGAAAUGGCGAUGUACGAAAUCUCGGAUUUCCACCCGACGAUGUCAUUAAUUUCUCAUCAUCAACUGUUUUGGCGCGUGUCAACGAUGGAAGGAUGUGCUGGAACAAAACCGAUGCUGCUCCCAAUAUUAUCAUUAAAUAUCGACUGCAAUCGCGAACAUGAUAGACAUUGAUGAAUACGAAUUUCAGCUGCCGCCAUAUGAGACGACUAUAAAUCAUUUCUGGAUUGAUAAAAGGAAAUGGUGAUAUAACCUUGCACACAUAUUAACGCGGCUUACGACAGAACUUGGACGCGAAAUUCGUCGCAGGUAAACAGCUCGGAGCGAAAUCAAGCCAAGAUAAACAACAAUUUGACAUUUUCCAAGGACCCUGUCCUUAUCUGGUAUGUCCGUUUGACGGGAGUGUGUCCAACGAAAAUCUCUACCAUGAAACAAUACUCUGUCAACGUCAAGGAGAGAUGAGAGGGAAGCCAUAAACGAAGGGUCUCUACUUAAGAUAACAGAGAUUACCCUGGCCAGUUCGAGAUAGAUUCUUUAACGCUUUCACUGCUCCCGGAUUUAUCGCUGGGGACAACGAUCGAUUUCAUAAAAAAUACGGACGAACGAUCAUCUUGUAUGAUAAGAGCGUAGAAUAAAUAACGGUUGUAAUCUCUAUAUCACAUCAGAACAUCUAUUCAUAUGCAUAAUCAGUAACGUAUCGUAUAAUGAAUCAUAUAACAAAUCGUGUAAGAUUUAUUGUGUGAUUAUCAUACGGUUUGUUGCGACAUUAAUAAUAGGUUUACGUAAUCUCGAUACCAUAUGAAAAAGUUAAUUCAUUUAUUAAAGUAGGAUUUAAAAAUGA